rnacentral:lncRNA from 1 species
AUACACCCCUGCUGAUGCCAGUGGGAUUUUUGCUAACUUGAACAGUAAUGACAGUGCUCUGUCUUAAUGUGCAAAAAAGUACACUUCUCCAUCCUGUCAUCCUAGCAUGAUUGCAAAGAGAGGUACAAGUAACCAGGCAAUCGUGAGGCUGCAAUCUGCCAUCAGCUGUCUGAAAGUUUCUGUUCUUUUACUUUAUUGCUUAUUCCUUGGGAGUGGCAAAUUCAACCUUAAAUGGAGCCUGGUCUGCUGAUAACAAGCAUGUUAUUCUUAUUUGUUUAUAUCAUGCAUUGCAGAAAGGUGCUCUUGGAGUGGCUGUGAUUAAAAUUAUAAGCCUACACUAGGAGUGAAACUUCUGAAAUAUUUCAGAUAGGCACAUUUUUGGCACAACUCUACUGAGAAAAGUGAAGCAAUGUAAGCUGUACCAGUAGAGAAUUAGGCCUUAGGAGCUUUCCUGAAAGAGGUGGUAAUAACUUCAAAAUGAUGUGGACAAAAUGUGAAGACUGAAGGUUUUAAGAGGAUUGAAAUGAAGAUAGCACAAGGACACCUAAAAGAGGUAGAGAAAUUCACUGACUAUAUCCACAUACAGGUUGGAACCCAACAUUUGGUGGUGCAGCAAACGGUGUAGCAUUUUAACGGCACUACACUGCAGCAAGUGAGUGCAAAAAUACUGAUGCAUCAGAGUUCUUCAGACAUUUAGAAUUAAAGCAAAGGAUUAUAAUUCCAAAGACAAAUGAACUGCUAAAGACAUAUGUAGUUUUUAAAUUUGUAAUGGCUUGCAAAAUGCAGAAUUCUUAAGACCGUUUUGUUUGACUACUUGGUUUCAGAACAGGAUGGCACCAUUGUGUGGCCACACAGACCAAACACCAUGCUGCAGACACUCCUCUGCCCCCAUGCUAAGGUGUAUGAGUCUGAAAGAUGCAGCUGGGUUAAACCUGCCAACAGAACCCAUUACGCUCGGACCUCGGACAUAAGUGAAACCACGCCCUACAGCGAACACCACGGCCCACCAGGACACCCUGAGGAUCCACGGGCCGGGCCAAGAGCGAGGGGGCGGGGCGACUACCGUUGCGCCGAGCAUUUGGGCGGGACCUGGGGGUGGGGGAUACGCACUAUGUCAUUCGUGUGCGCCGCAGCUCGGUUGGACGGCGGCCUGCGCUCGGUGGAAAGCUUGAUUCCUACUCCUUCUCUUGAUGGAAGUAAGGAAAGCAUUGAAGAACAAUUGUUACUCUGA